CAGUACCGUGAGGGAAAGGUGAAAAGAACCCCGGGAGGGGAGUGAAAUAGUACCUGAAACCGCAUGCCUACAAUCAGUGGGAGGACGAUGUCUUCGGACCGUCUGACCGCGUGCCUAUUGCAUAAUGAGCCGGCGAGUUACCUUGUGUGGCCAGGCUAAGGGCUUCUGGUCCAUAGCCGUAGCGAAAGCGAGUCUGAAUAGGGCGACUAGUCGCACAGGGUAGACCCGAAACCGAGUGAUCUAUCCAUGGCCAGGGUGAAGUUUCCGUAAAAGGAAAUGGAGGCCCCAACCAAUGGCAGUUGAAAAUGCUUUGGAUGAGCUGUGGAUAGGGGUGAAAGGCCAAUCAAACUCGGCAAUAGCUGGUUCUCCUCGAAAUAGUUUUGGGACUAGCCUCGCAUGGUAGCCGACGGGGGUAGAGCACUGAAUGGGCUAGGGGUCCUACCAGACUACCGAACCCAAUCAAACUCCGAAUACCGUUGGUGGAACUGCGGGAGUCAGACUGUGGGGGAUAAGCUCCAUGGUCAAAAGGGAAAGAGCCCAGAUCGCCAGCUAAGGUCCCUAAACUGAGCUAAGUGGGAAAGGAUGUGUAACUGCCCAGACAACCAGGAUGUUGGCUUAGAAGCAGCCAUUCAUUUAAAGAGUGCGUAACAGCUCACUGGUCAAGUGAUUAUGCGCCGAAGAUGUACCGGGGCUAAGCUCAGUACCGAAGCUGCGAAUCACGCCUUCGGGCGUGAUGGUAGAGGAGCAUUCCAUUCAGGAUUGAAGCACGAUCGAAAGAACGUGUGGACCGUAUGGAAGAGAUCAUGCCGGCAUCAGUAACGAAAAAGCAGGUGAGAAACCUGCUCGCCGAAAAUCCAAGGGUUCCCGGGGAAGGAUAAUCCGCCCGGGGUUAGUCGGAGCCUAAGCCGAGGCCGAAAGGCGUAGGCGAUGGGAAACAGGCACAAAGAUUCCUGUACCACCGCGCCAUCGUUUGAGCGAUGGGGUGACGCAGGAGGAUAGGGCGGCCGUCUGUUGGCUUAGACGGUCUAAGCGUGUGGGAGGUAGCCCAGGCAAAUCCGGGCUGCAAUACUCCGAGGCGUUAAGGGACGUGGAUGGGAAACUUGAAGCGGAUCGCUCGAUUCCAUACUGCCAAGAAAAACCUCUAGCGAGGUGGCCGGUGUCCGUACCGUAAACCGACACAGGUGGAUGAGAAGAGGAUUCUAAGGCGCUCGGGAGACCACUCCUUAAGGAACUCGACCAAUUGGCCCCGUAACUUCGGAAGAAGGGGUGCUCUGGCCGGUGAAGGACUUGCUCCGUAAGCUGGCUGGAGUCGCAGCGAAGAGGUUCAGGCGACUGUUUACUAAAAACACAGGUCUCUGCAAAGUCGCAAGACGACGUAUAGGGACUGACGCCUGCCCAAUGCCGGAAGGUUAACGGGAGGAGUCAACGCUUCGGCGUGAAGCUCUGAACCGAAGCCCCGGUUAAUGGCGGCCGUAACUAUAACGGUCCUAAGGUAGCGAAAUUCCUUGUCGGGUAAGUU
rnacentral:rRNA from 1 species